rnacentral:rRNA from 1 species
GAUCACUUCUGGGUGUCAGCGGCGGUAAUACGAAGGGGGCGAUCGUUUAUCUGAGUUACAGAGAGUAAAACGCAAGUAGGCGGACAGGUGAGUCAGGGGUGAAAGGCCAGAGCGCAACUCUGGAACUGUCUUUGGUACUGGUUGUCUAGAGUAUGGAAGAGGUGAGUGGAAUGCCGAGUGUAGAGGUGAAAUUCGUAGAUAUUCGGAGGAACACCAGUAGCGAAGGCGGCUCACUUGUCCAUUACUGACGCUGAGGUGCGAAAGCGUGGGGAGCAAACAGGAUUAGAUACCCGAGUAGUC